GACUCAAGUUUCACAUGGUCUUGAAAAAAAGUUUGGGCUCGACUCGAAAAGUUUCAGAUGGUCUCUUAAAAAAUUAAAAAAAAAUUCUGAUUGUCUUCAAAAAAAGUUUUAUGUCGGCUCGAAAAGUUUCAGAUAUCCUUCAAAAAAAGUUUUAAAUCGUCUUCAAUAAAAGUUUUAUGUGGAUUCAAAAAGUUUAAGAUGGUCUUUAAAGUUUCAGACGGGCACAAAAGGUUUUAGCUGGACUCGCCAGCGAAAAGUUUCGGAUGGACUCAAAAAGUAUUAGAUGGUCUUUAAAAAGUUUUAUUUGGAUUCGAGAAGUUUCAGAUGGUCUCUAAAACAAAUUUCAGACGGACACGAAAGUUUUAUGUGGGUUGUGAAAGUUUUAUGUGGGUUGAGAAAGUUUUAAAUGGACACGAAGAGUAUUAGGUGGUCUUCUGGAAAAUUUUAGGUGGGACUCCGAAAGUUUUAGAAGAUUUUAUUAAAAAAUAAAAAAUAAAAAAAA